AAACGUGGGCUUAAAGAGCCGCAUCAGAUGCUCUAUUUUCGUCAACUGCUCUCCCUUUUAGCUUUUUUUGACGACUCUUCAACUUCUCAAAACUAAUUUAGUUUCUUACCCCAAAUUUCCAACUCCUCCUGCCUCAAGCCCUCAACGUCAAUCAAUUUUAUAACAAAAUGUAUGUCGUAGUCCAGAUUUCAUAAAGCGGAGUUUCCUUUACAUUAGUUUUUCUUCUAAAAUUGUUGUAGGCAAGCCUGUUGUGGUUGCUUCAUAAAUUUUCUACUUCGACCUACCCUAUCAGAAGAAAAUAGAGUUUGUUUUGCAUCGGAAUCAACAGAUUGGGGGGUUGCGAAGAAGCCCAUAUAAAAUUAACAAUAGAAGUUCAGAAGACUCUACAACUGCUUGGAAAAAAUAUUGUUUUUACGGCACUUUGACAUGGAAGAACAGAAAAAACUCGCAAGAUAAAAUCGAGUAUGCAUAUAGAAGCAGAAACAUGCUAAAUUUUCCUCGAACGGUAUGAAAAUUUAACAUUAUAUAGAUCAUGAGUAAUAUUGCAGUUCUUUAAACAAUUUGACCUAAAUUUGGUGUCUUACUAAAUCCUUUUGUUCUACUAUUUGUUCGGUUUUUUAAGAUGCAUUAGAUGCUGAAAUUUAAGUAUAAGUAUACAAAAUAUGUGUCCUAUAUAUCGUAAAAAUAUUAUGAUCCGUACACCAUAUUAGUCUCUAUUAUCCUGUAUAUCGUCUUUCUUCAGAAUAUGCAUUAUUUGAUAUAUCGUUGCAUAAAUUUAAGAUCUAUUAUGUCAUAUGUUUUAUCAUUUUUAUAUGUUUACCCAUCCCAUACAUCUUAUGCAUUAUUUAAAUUUUAGAGCAUUUGUAAAUUUUAGGUACUUUUAAUGAUUAAUCGUACAUGUUUAUCAUCUGUAUUAGUCGCAUUUAGACUAAGGCU
rnacentral:lncRNA from 1 species